UCCCUGGAGGCCUAGUGGUUAGGCCUCGGCACUCUCGCUGCCACAGCCCAGGUUUGAUUCCUGGCCAGGGAC
rnacentral:tRNA from 1 species